GGCCAAGUUAUUUAGGGCACACGGUGGAUGCCUUGGCAUCAGGAGCCGAUGAAGGACGUGGGAGGCUGCGUUAAGCCUCGGGGAGUCGCCAACCAGACGUUGAUCCGGGGAUGUCCGAAUGGGGAAACCUAGCACCAGUCAUGUGGUGUUGCCGCCGUCUGAAUGUAUAGGGCGGUUGGUGGUAACGCGGGGAAGUGAAACAUCUCAGUACCCGUAGGAGAAGAAAACAAUAGUGAUUCCGUGAGUAGUGGUGAGCGAAAGCGGAGGAGGCUAAACCGUGCGCGUGUGAUAGCCGGCGGGCGUUGCGUGUGCGGGGUUGUGGGAUCCUUCUGAACGGUCCGCUGAUCGUUCGGGGAGUAAAAAAUUCAUCUGAUAGUCGAACGCUCUGGGAAGGGCGGCCGUAGACCGUGAGAGCCGGGUAGACGAAAUUGGAUGGACUCCCGAGGGGUGUCCCGAGUAGCACGGGGCUCGAGGAAUCCUGUGUGAAUCUGCCAGGACCACCUGGUAAGCCUAAAUACUUCCUGAUGACCGAUAGUGAACGAGUACCGUGAGGGAAAGGUGAAAAGCGCCCCGGUGAGGGGUCGUGAAAUAGUACCUGAAACCGUGUGCCUACAAGCCGUAGGAGCGUAGUCGCCCUUUGGGCGGCUGUGAUGUGACUGCGUGCCUUUUGAAGAAUGAGCCUGCGAGUUAUGGUGUGUGGCGAGGUUAACCCGUGUGGGGGAGCCGUAGCGAAAGCGAGUCUGAAUAGGGCGUUUGAGUCGCAUGCUGUAGACCCGAAGCGGAGUGAUCUACGCAUGGGCAGGUUGAAGCGUGGGUAAGACUGCGUGGAGGACCGAACCCACCAGGGUUGAAAACCUGGGGGAUGACCUGUGUGUAGGGGUGAAAGGCCAAUCAAACUCCGUGAUAGCUGGUUCUCCCCGAAAUGCAUUUAGGUGCAGCGUUGCGUGUUGCUUGCCGGAGGUAGGGCUCUGGAUGGCUGAUGGGCCCGACAAGGUUACUGACGUCAGCCAAACUUCGAAUGCCGGUAAGUUGAGCGUGGCAGUGAGACUGCGGGGGAUAAGCUCCGUGGUCGAGAGGGAAACAGCCCAGAUCACCGACUAAGGCCCCUAAGCGUGUGCUAAGUGGGAAAGGAUGUGGAGUCGCAGUGACAACCAGGAGGUUGGCUUAGAAGCAGCCACCCUUGAAAGAGUGCGUAAUAGCUCACUGGUCAAGUGAUUCUGCGCCGACAAUGUAGCGGGGCUCAAGUACACCGCCGAAGUCGUGGCACUACCGGCUGACUUUGUCAGUUGGUGGUGGGUAGGGGAGCGUCGUGCGAACCGGUGAAGCUGCCGAGUGAUCGUGUGGUGGAGGUCGUGCGAGUGAGAAUGCAGGCAUGAGUAGCGAGUCAGAAGUGAGAAUCUUCUGCGCCGAAUGACCAAGGGUUCCUGGGGCAGGUUCGUCCGCCCAGGGUAAGUCGGGACCUAAGGCGAGGCCGACAGGCGUAGUCGAUGGACAACGGGUUGAUAUUCCCGUACCCGCUGUGAUGCGCCCAUAUCGAAUCCAGUGAUACUAAGGGUCCUUAGUCCGGUUGGCUCUUCGGAGCCGGCGUCAGGGUGAACGCCUGGCCUGAUCUGGUAGUAGGUAAGCGAUGGGGUGACGCAGGAAGGUAGCCCAGCCCGGGCGGUGGUUGUCCCGGGGUAAGCAUGUAGGGCGAGAGAUAGGCAAAUCCGUCUCUCAUUAGCCUGAGGUGUGAUGCCGAGCCGAUUGUGGCGAAGUGGGUGAUCCUAUGCUGCCGAGAAAAGCCUCUAGUGAGUGUCGCGGCGGCCCGUACCCUAAACCGACUCAGGUGGUCAGGUAGAGAAUACCAAGGCGGUCGGGUGAACUGUGGUUAAGGAACUCGGCAAAUUGCCCCCGUAACUUCGGGAGAAGGGGGACCUUUACUGGUGAUCGGACUUGCUUCGUGAGCUGGUGGGGGUCGCAGUGGCCAGGGGGAAGCGACUGUUUACUAAAAACACAGGUCCGUGCGAAGUCGUAAGACGAUGUAUACGGACUGACGCCUGCCCGGUGCCGGAACGUUAAGGGGACUGCUUAGUGCCUUUCGGGGUGCGAAGGUGAGAACUUAAGCGCCGGUAAACGGCGGUGGUAACUAUAACCAUCCUAAGGUAGCGAAAUUCCUUGUCGGGUAAGUUCCGACCUGCACGAAUGGCGUAACGACUUCCCCGCUGUCUCAACCACAGGCCCGGUGAAAUUGCAGUACGAGUAAAGAUGCUCGUUUCGCGCAGCAGGACGGAAAGACCCCGGGACCUUCACUACAGCUUGACAUUGGCGUUUGGAACGUCUUGUGUAGGAUAGGUGGGAGACUGUGAAGCGGUAACGCUAGUUAUCGUGGAGUCAUUGGUGAAAUACCACUCUGGUCGUUUUGGACGUCUAACCCGCGCCCGUGAAUCCGGGUGGGGGACAGUGUCUGGUGGGUAGUUUAACUGGGGCGGUUGCCUCCUAAAGGGUAACGGAGGCGCCCAAAGGUUCCCUCAGCCUGGUUGGCAAUCAGGUGUCGAGUGUAAGUGCACAAGGGAGCUUGACUGUGAGACUGACGGGUCGAGCAGGAGCGAAAGCUGGGACUAGUGAUCCGGCAUCGGCGUGUGGAAGCGGUGUCGCUCAACGGCUAAAAGGUACCCCGGGGAUAACAGGCUGAUCUUCCCCAAGAGUCCAUAUCGACGGGAUGGUUUGGCACCUCGAUGUCGGCUCGUCGCAUCCUGGGGCUGGAGUAGGUCCCAAGGGUUGGGCUGUUCGCCCAUUAAAGCGGUACGCGAGCUGGGUUUAGAACGUCGCGAGACAGUUCGGUCCCUAUCCGCUGCGCGCGCAGGAGACUUGCGAGGGGCUGUCCCUAGUACGAGAGGACCGGGACGGACGAACCUCUGGUGUGCCAGUUGUUCCGCCAGGAGCACGGCUGGUUGGCUACGUUCGGUAGGGAUAACCGCUGAAAGCAUCUAAGCGGGAAGCUCGCCUCAAGAUGAGGUCUCCCACCACCUUGUGUGGGUAAGGCCCCCUAGAGAUGAUGGGGUUGAUAGGCCGGAAGUGGAAGCGCAGUAAUGUGUGGAGCUGACCGGUACUAAUAGGCCGAGGACUUGACCAU
rnacentral:rRNA from 1 species